GGGUUUGUAGCUCAGUUGGUUAGAGUACCGCGUUGACAUCGCGGGGGUCGGAGGUUCGAGUCCUCUCAAACCUACCA
rnacentral:tRNA from 1 species